rnacentral:rRNA from 1 species
AUUGAACGCUGGCGGCAGGCUUAACACAUGCAAGUCGAGCGAGCGGCGGACGGGUGAGUAAUGUCUGGGAAACUGCCUGAUGGAGGGGGAUAACUACUGGAAACGGUAGCUAAUACCGCAUACCAUCAGAUGUGCCCAGAUGGGAUUAGCUAGUUGGUGGGGUAAUGGCUCACCUAGGCGACGAUGCCUAGCUGGUCUGACAGGAUGACAAUCCACACUGGAAUUGAGACACGGUCCAAACUCCUACGGGAGGCAGCAGUGGGGAAUAUUGCACGAUGGGCGCAAGCCGAAUGCAGCCAUGCGGCGUGUGGGAAGAAGGCCUUCGGGUUGUAAAGCACUUUCAGCGAGGAGGCGUUACUCGCAGAAGAAGCACCGGCUAACUCCGUGCCAGCAGCCGCGGUAAUAC